UACGGAGGAUGCGAGCGUUAUCCGGAUUUAUUGGGUUUAAAGGGUGCGUAGGCGGACGCUUAAGUCAGCGGUAAAAUUGCGGGGCUCAACCUCGUCGAGCCGUUGAAACUGGGUGCCUUAGUGGGCGAGAAGUACGCGGAAUGCGUGGUGUAGCGGUGAAAUGCAUAGAUAUCACGCAGAACUCCGAUUGCGAAGGCAGCGUACCGGCGCCCAACUGACGCUGAAGCACGAAGGCGUGGGUAUCGAACAGG
rnacentral:rRNA from 1 species